CUGGCGGCGUGAAGCGGGAAGUGGGCGCAGCCGGCGCGUGGGGGGGGGGGGGGGGGGGUCCUCAGCGGCCCUCCCCGCGUCGGCCACAGUCGGAGACGGGUGUGCCCCGGAGAAGGGCGGCUGUCUGCCGAGGCCCGCGGCCGACACGCUGCCCCGGGGGCGCAGUGAGGCCCGCGCUCACCGGUCGCGCCCGAGAGCAGUGAGGGUUUCCUCGAGGGCCUCGGCACUGACCAUGCCCUGUCCUGUGGGCCUGGGCACGCUCACGGGGGCUCCUCUGGGCCGCUGAUUCGCGGGGGGGCUGGACGUGGGGCGAGGAGGGAGGGGACGACUUGAGCGCGCGUAUUGAAUGUUCGAGGCCAAACAUCGACGCCGCAAAGGACCAACUCAAGGCGAGACAAAGCCCUGGUCGCAGGGGGUUCAGCGGUUACAGGACCUGCAGCGGUGACACCCUCCUAAGGACGGAUGGGGACGGGGCGAGGGGCCUCAGUUAUCGAGAAAGUUCGGGGACACGGGUGCAGCGCGUACCCUACGUGCUCCCUGCUCCAGAGCCGUCCCGGAGUACCUCUCCCGCUCACCGCCCGUUACCCGAGCCCUCGAUUUGCCUAGAGGCUCCCUGGGUCUUCUCUUGUCCGACCGCGGUCUGGAGCCCUGGCCACACGGCCCUUCCCUCAGCGUCUCCGCCCUUGGCUCUGCAGUUCUGCAGGCACUUUCCCGGCUCCUCCUCCCUUGCCUUCUGUCGGGCCGCCGCGCUGAGGCCCUCACUCUCACCUCCCCUGGAAGUGUUCCUUGAGCCUCUUCAGCGCAGUCUGUGGACUGCAGUCACUCUACCGAGCAGUCCUUGGUUCUUGGGGCUUUCCCCCUUCGUUUUACAUUCGCUUGCUUUUAUGGGAGACACUGGGAAUUGAAAUCAACACAGAGAUAUUUCAACCUUUGUAACCCACGAUGGUGCUCAGAGGGGAUGGGGUGGAUCCCACUGCAAGACCAGGAGUUCACCUGCGCACCUGCAGAAGGACAUCUGGGUUGUUACCAAUUAAGCUGCGGUGAACAAUCAAAACCACAUCAUUGGGUGGACCAGGCUCUCAUUUCUCCUGGGUAAAUGUGUUGGAGUGGAAAAGCUGGGUCAUCAGGGAGUGCAUGUUUAAGAAGAAACUGUCGGACGCUUUUCCAUCCAUACCAACGUCCUUGUCAACACCUGGUAUCAACGGUCUUUCCGAUAGCCAUUAAUUCUCUCGUGACUAGUUUGUGUUUUCCUGAGGACUAGUGAGAUGCAAAGAUCUUUCAUGCGCAUCACCAUUCACGUAUCUUCCUUGGUUAAGUGUCUGUUCAAACUUUGUCCUAGUUUUUAAAAAUGGUUUAUUGCUUUUUUUGAAUUCUGAGUGUUUUUUAAAAAUAUAUUCUGAGUGUGCUACUUCCCAGUACUGUAUUAUCUCCCAUGACGUGGCUUGCUAUUUUAUUUAGUAGUAUCUUUCAAAAAGUAAAAUUUAUUAAUUAAAGUCCAGUUUAUCAAA